rnacentral:rRNA from 1 species
AUUGAACGCUGGCGGCAUGCCUUACACAUGCAAGUCGAACGGCAGCACGGGUGCUUGCACCUGGUGGCGAGUGGCGAACGGGUGAGUAAUACAUCGGAACAUGUCCUGUAGUGGGGGAUAGCCCGGCGAAAGCCGGAUUAAUACCGCAUACGAUCUACGGAUGACAGCGGGGGACCUUCUGGCCUCGCGCUAUAGGGUUGGCCGAUGGCUGAUUAGCUAGUUGGUGGGGUAAAGGCCUACCAAGGCCACGAUCAGUAGCUGGUCUGAGAGGACGACCAGCCACACUGGGACUGAGACACGGCCCAGACUCCUACGGGAGGCAGCAGUGGGGAAUUUUGGACAAUGGGCGAAGGCCUGAUCCAGCAAUGCCGCGUGUGUGAAGAAGGCCUUCGGGUUGUAAAGCACUUUUGUCCGGAAAGAAAUCCUUGGUCCUAAUACGGUCGGGGGAUGACGGUACCGGAAGAAUAAGCACCGGCUAACUACGUG